rnacentral:rRNA from 1 species
UAGGGAAUCUUCGGCAAUGGGCGAAAGCCUGACCGAGCAACGCCGCGUGAGCGAUGAAGGCCUUCGGGUCGUAAAGCUCUGUUGUUAGGGAAGAACAAGUACCGUUCGAAUAGGGCGGUACCUUGACGGUACCUAACCAGAAAGCCACGGCUAACUACGUGCCAGCAGCCGCGGUAAUACGUAGGUGGCAAGCGUUGUCCGGAAUUAUUGGGCGUAAAGCGCGCGCAGGCGGUCUCUUAAGUCUGAUGUGAAAGCCCACGGCUCAACCGUGGAGGGCCAUUGGAAACUGGGGGACUUGAGUACUGGAGAGGAGAGUGGAAUUCCAUGUGUAGCGGUGAAAUGCGUAGAUAUAUGGAGGAACACCAGUGGCGAAGGCGGCUCUCUGGCCAGUAACUGACGCUGAGGCGCGAAAGCGUGGGGAGCAAACAGGAUUAGAUACCCCCGUAGUCC